GUUGCCUAGGUUGUGGCAGUAAAAGCUGGUAAAGAACACCUUGAAGUUGACACCUUGUAAACACCAGAUCUGGAGAACCUCAAAAGAUGGAACCCUUAGACUUCCGCAAUUAUGGCAUCUGUGACCGAGUUGCGUGGGUUUGUCGGGAGGUGUAGGCAAAUCAUGCAUCUAUUACUCCUAGAUAUCAAUGUAUGACUUCAGGUUGAGACUUUUAGCUUGUACAAAUGAAGGCUGAAUCUUGUGGAGAGGCAUGAACAUCUGUAGACUACCAUCUGAUACAUGUAGCCUUCAACUAUGAACCCUCCAAAGUAAAAGAAUAAGUGCAAUCUAUUUCUAUUGUCCUUUUCACUCGAAA